rnacentral:rRNA from 1 species
GCCAGACUCCUACGGGAGGCAGCAGUGGGGAAUAUUGCACAAUGGGGGAAACCCCGAUGCAGCGACGCCGCGUGAGCGAUGAAGUAUUUCGGUAUGUAAAGCUCUAUCAGCAGGGAAGAAAAUGACGGUACCUGACUAAGAAGCCCCGGCUAACUACGUGCCAGCAGCCGCGGUAAUACGUAGGGGGCACGCGUUAUCCGGAUUUACUGGGCGUAAAGGGAGCGUAGACGGUCCUGCAAGCCAGAUGUGAAGGCCCGGGGCUCAACCCCGGGACUGCAUUUGGAACUGUAAGGCUAGAGUGUCGGAGAGGCAGGCGGAAUUCCUAGUGUAGCGGUGAAAUGCGUAGAUAUUAGGAGGAACACCGGCGGCGAAGGCGGCCCGCUGGACCGUAACUGACGUUGAGGCUCGAGAGCGUGGGGAGCAAACAGGAUUAGAUCCCCCAGUA